UCCAAAGGAAGUGAAAACAGGAUCUUAAAGAGAUCUCUGCACUUCCAUGUUUAUUGCAGCAUUAUUCACAAUAGGCAAGAUAUUGAAACAACCAAAGUGUUCAUCAGUGGAUUAAUGAAUAAAGAAGAUAUGGUUAAAGGGUGCCUGGGUGG